UCAGUGAUAGCAGCAAGUGUGCACGCCGGGAAACGCUGCAUCGAGGCUACUGCAAGCGGUGCAAAAUACCACUUUAUCCCGGCAUAUUGGCUCAGAUUAGAAAGCGCUAGCUCAAACACUCACACAGAAAGUACCGGGAGUGACAAUCGCUGCUGCUCGAUCGACGACCUGCCGCAGCGGGAGCAAAAUUUAAACUGAAUUUUUGUAUACAAAUGAUAACCGAACCAGGAGGCCAUGCCAACCAGAAGGAUGUCACGGGUAACUCGUAGCGUUUGGUAUGAGUGCGAAUACAUGAACCCGGGAAUAGGGGGCCACUCGAUUGCUCCUGGAAUGGCAGAGGAUGAGUUCGGAAGGUUACCGCUCCGAUGAAAUACCAAAAAAUGUCCUGUUUCAAAUGCCACACAGGAUCGAAAAUGUGUGUGAAGAAGUUUGAAAUUGGACCAGGAAUGCAGCAAACGCAGGAUAGUGCCACUCUCACCCAAACUCACACACACCAUUCAGAACAGAAGCUACUUCGUUUUUUUUUCGCAGGACUCUCCUAUCAACGCUGGAUGGCAGCAGGUUGACCUGUGAAAAGGAUAUCAAGUCAACUUGCAAUCCAACCAUACUGCACCCGUAUGAGAACAACUUUCUUCGGAACGAGAAAAGACUUUCUUCUUUUGCCGGGCAACAUGAUGCGGACGCCGAAAUCUAUUGACGGUGUUUAAUUGUUAUUGAAAAAUGCACGGGUGCGCUGAAUCGCGCCUAUCAUUGACCUCUCCCCCCCACCCCUCCAUUCCAGCUACACACCCGCCGGAGGAAUCGUAGCAGGCGUGGAAAAAAUAUUGUUCCAUUGCCGUUCCUGCUAGUGAAGGUAGAACAGAGAUAGACUGAGUAGGCCGUGAUGAAACAAUAACUAUUUCAUCAAUUAUUUUAUUCCAUUUGCAACAAUUCAAAUGUGUUGCGAAUCAGUGGAUAUUUCGAUUCCAAGUGUGUGUUUUGCGUAUGUGGGUGGAAUGUUGGGAACCAACACAAUCAUCAUGUCGAGAGAGCGAAGCCGCGACUGACGCGAGCAACGCACCUCUUCCCAGUGCUGUUCUGUUCUGUUCGCGCUAGCCUACUAGGAUGCGUCGGUGGUUGCACGUGGACAUCGCCGCACGCACGCACGCACGUACGUACGCACUCAAUGCCAUCGAAUCCGCAGCACCGUGUCGAUUGUUAAACUGUGAUUGUAGUAGUAAUAGUAGCAGUAUUAGGUACGGCUAUCGGCGUUGUAACGCCAGUUCUGUUCUGAGUGAUGCAGCUUCCCUGUGACAGCAGGUGACAAUGGAUAAUGGGGACUUGUUUUUUUUAUGGAAAGUGACGCGUGUCUGUGGCCUUGAUUAUUUAUCACAGUAGGCGCGCAUUUUGUAAUUUAUUCUAGACAAUGACGCAGAUCCCCCACCAAAUUGGUCUUGCCGGCUGCAUUUUGUUUCCAGUAGGAGGGGGGAAUGUUACCAACGCAUAGUCCGAAAUGAAAAAAAAUAAUCAAAAGUAAUUCAGUAAACUGUGUUUGAUUGACUUUUUUCCAGCAUUUUUGCAUACAUUUUACAUACUCAACAGUACUUAAAAAAUAAUAUGUAUUGUUUUAACAAUAGUAAUACUUGUAAAUGUUCAAAACUAUGAACCAGCGGAACAUCUGACAGAAAAGCUUUGGUUAGGGAGAAUGGAAGUGCAAACUUCCUAAUGUUAACCGGUGUGGCGGGCGAAAGGCGAACUUUUUCUCCCGCCUUCUGGGACCAAUCGGCAUUGUAACGGCUGUCAUUGCGACUGACCCAUCGAAUCAAAACAGGAGGAAUAAAUUUUUUCAUAGAUAUUAUGUAGCUUUCUAUACAUAGAGAGAAAGAAAUAGUGAAAAUAAGCAAAUUUGGGUUUUGCACAAAGAAUUUUUUUUAUUGAAAUUAUGACAAAAGUAAACCUGGUUUGAUAACAAGAAACAAGAUAAUUAUUUUUACUCAGCAGAUUAGUUUGCGAUUGAAUUAUUCACAUACAACAAUCAUUACACAAAUAAGAUCAGAGGUAAAUUGAACCAAUUUUGACGUGAAUACGUUUUACUUUAAUAACAAGAGCCUUUUCAAAAUUUACCUUCUGGGAUAGUGAUCAGUGUUUGAUCGUGAAUAUCCCCUGUUACGAUACGAUCAAUAAUUUAUGAUAGAAUUUUCAGUUGGAUGAUAUCCUCAAACAACUCCAAAUUAACAUUUUCUAACAUGCUUGAUACGUAAAGAAGGCAAAAAUUUGUAGGUUUCAUUCAUUCUAGCCUGCGUAGUUGACCAGGAUUUUGAACUGAAAAUAAGAUUCAGACCAGCAUUCAGUUCCAAAUUUCCUGUCCGGAAUUGAGAUUUAGAAUACAGUUUCAAAAUUCAGUUCAGAACUCGGAACCUGAAGCGCUGGAACUUUAGACCGAAAUCCAGAAAAAGAACUCAGAUCCAAAUUUAAGUUGUAUUUGCAGAAUUCAGUUCUAAACUGCAUUCCAGAAACCAGGCUUAAAGUUCUACACCAGAAUGCAAGUCUAGAAUUUGGUACCGAUUCAGACAAUUCUAGAAGUGUACCCGAAUACAGGAACUAGAUUCUGAAGACUUUUGAACCAAAUCCCGGAUGUGGAUUCCAGAACAGUAUGUCAGCUGAAUUCUGGAUCCAGAUUUGAAAACUGAAUUCUGGACUAAAAUCGUGAAACUAAAGUUUCAUCUGCUGAUCAGAAUCCAGAUCCAGAGUACAGUGAGUUGCCGAGUUCAAGUCAGCAUUCAGCAUCAGAAUUAAGAUUUACCUGCGGACCCCCACAGGGACAGAAGGAUACGACCAGCAUCGAAAUGAUCCAGCGUCACCGAGAUAAGUUCCAACCCACCAACCAUUGCCGACUUACACCAUCUGGAGGCAGGAUUUCCCGGAGUAAAGCACCGUUAACCCAUUGCGACAUCACCAGAAUAGUUGAACUUUUACUAGUUUUAAGUAGUUAUUUAAAAUUAGAAAAUGCCCUCGGCAUCUUAGAGCUUAAGCUAAAAAAUUCGGUUCCAAAA